rnacentral:lncRNA from 1 species
GGCUUCUAUAAGAAAUACUUUCAAGCCGGGUAGAGGCUUCUUCUCCAUCCUUUUGUUGUGGCGCUCCUCCAAUACUUUGAAAUAUCACUGUGUAUGGUGGUGCCGAAUACAUGACGGUAUAUUUGCAGCUUCAUCACAGUAUGCAUGCUGGCAGGGAUUGUAUCAAAUAUCACAUUCUUCCAUUUUCUCUUCAACCUCAAUCGGCACCC